GCCCGCCCCCUUUGGAAACUUCCCUGCAACACGUGGCUUUGUUUAUCAUCUUCAGCGUUGCAAAACUUCUUGGGGACGUGAGCAGGCGAUCCCAAACUUUUCAUGUCAAGGACCCCCCGGAUGGACACGCGACACCGCCGACCCCGCUUUGAUAAGAGAAAUCCUCAACAUUCGGUUGUUUUCCAUGCAUACUGCUUGACAAAAUCACUGAUGGGACGUUCGGGACGCUGUCCUGCUGGCAGGUUGGGAAGGGGAUGUGCCACCUGCUGGCUGCAGGGGAAAGAAGAAACGAGACCACCGACAACUAUGAGAGGGCUGGCCACGUGUGGCUCAAGGAGCUGAGAGCAGUAAUGAAACACCAGAGUUUUAUUUCAUCUACGG